GUUGUAUGGUUAAGUGACUAAGCGUACACGGUGGAUGCCUUGGCAGUCAGAGGCGAUGAAAGACGUAGUAACUUGCGAUAAGCCCAGAUUAGGUAGUAACAACCAUUUGAGUCUGGGAUUUCUGAAUGGGGAAACCCACGUGCAUAAGCACGUAUCCUUACCUGAAUACAUAGGGUAAGGAGGCGAACCGGGGGAACUGAAACAUCUAAGUACCCCGAGGAAAAGAAAUCAACCGAGAUUCCGAAAGUAGCGGCGAGCGAAAUUGGACUAGCCCUUAAGCUUUACACGCGUUAGACGAACGGUCUGGAAAGUCCGACGAUACAGGGUGAUAGUCCCGUAGUUGACGAUGUGUGUUCAGUGAAAUCGAGUAGGGCGGGACACGUGAUAUCCUGUCUGAAUAUGGGGGGACCAUCCUCCAAGGCUAAAUACUACUGACUGACCGAUAGUGAACCAGUACCGUGAGGGAAAGGCGAAAAGAACCCCUGUGAGGGGAGUGAAAUAGAACCUGAAACCGUGUACGUACAAGCAGUAGGAGCAGGCUUUGUCCUGUGACUGCGUACCUUUUGUAUAAUGGGUCAGCGACUUAUAUUCAGUGGCAAGGUUAACCAUCUAGGGGAGCCGUAGGGAAACCGAGUCUUAACUGGGCGUUCAGUCUCUGGAUAUAGACCCGAAACCAGGUGAUCUAGCCAUGGGCAGGUUGAAGGUUGAGUAACAUCAACUGGAGGACCGAACCGACUAAUGUUGAAAAAUUAGCGGAUGACUUGUGGCUAGGGGUGAAAGGCCAAUCAAACCUGGAGAUAGCUGGUUCUCCCCGAAAGCUAUUUAGGUAGCGCCUCGGACGAAUACUACUGGGGGUAGAGCACUGUUAAGGCUAGGGGGUCAUCCCGACUUACCAACCCUUUGCAAACUCCGAAUACCAGUAAGUACUAUCCGGGAGACACACGGCGGGUGCUAACGUCCGUCGUGGAGAGGGAAACAACCCAGACCGCCAGCUAAGGUCCCAAAUUACUACUAAGUGGGAAACGAUGUGGGAAGGCUCAGACAGCCAGGAUGUUGGCUUAGAAGCAGCCAUCAUUUAAAGAAAGCGUAAUAGCUCACUGGUCGAGUCGGCCUGCGCGGAAGAUGUAACGGGGCUAAGUAGUAAACCGAAGCUGCGGCAAUAUACUUUUGUAUAUUGGGUAGGGGAGCGUUCUGUAAGCGGUUGAAGGUGUGUGGUAACGCAUGCUGGACGUAUCAGAAGUGCGAAUGCUGACAUGAGUAACGAUAAAGGGGGUGAAAAACCUCCUCGCCGGAAGACCAAGGGUUCCUGUCCAACGUUAAUCGGGGCAGGGUAAGUCGACCCCUAAGGCGAGGCCGAAAGGCGUAGUCGAUGGGAAACGGGUUAAUAUUCCCGUACUUCUUACAAUUGCGAUGGGGGGACGGAGAAGGCUAGGUGGGCCUGGCGACGGUUGUCCAGGUUCAAGUGCGUAGGCUUGAGAGUUAGGUAAAUCCGGCUCUCUUUAAGGCUGAGACACGACGUCGAGCACCUACGGGUGUGAAGUCAUUGAUGCCAUGCUUCCAGGAAAAGCCUCUAAGCUUCAGAUUGUAAGGAAUCGUACCCCAAACCGACACAGGUGGUCGGGUAGAGAAUACCAAGGCGCUUGAGAGAACUCGGGUGAAGGAACUAGGCAAAAUGGUACCGUAACUUCGGGAGAAGGUACGCUCUCGACGGUGAAGUCCCUCGCGGAUGGAGCUAUUGAGAGUCGCAGAUACCAGGUGGCUGCAACUGUUUAUUAAAAACACAGCACUGUGCAAAAUCGUAAGAUGACGUAUACGGUGUGACGCCUGCCCGGUGCCGGAAGGUUAAUUGAUGGGGUUAGACUUCGGUCGAAGCUCUUGAUCGAAGCCCCGGUAAACGGCGGCCGUAACUAUAACGGUCCUAAGGUAGCGAAAUUCCUUGUCGGGUAAGUUCCGACCUGCACGAAUGGCGUAAUGAUGGCCACGCUGUCUCCACCCGAGACUCAGUGAAAUUGAAAUCGCUGUGAAGAUGCAGUGUACCCGCGGCUAGACGGAAAGACCCCGUGAACCUUUACUACAGCUUGGCACUGAACAUUGACCCUACAUGUGUAGGAUAGGUGGGAGGCUUUGAAGCACGUACGCCAGUAUGUGUGGAGCCGUCCUUGAAAUACCACCCUUGUAGUGUUGAUGUUCUAACGUCGACCCCUAAUCGGGGUUGCGGACAGUGCCUGGUGGGUAGUUUGACUGGGGCGGUCUCCUCCCAAAGAGUAACGGAGGAGCACGAAGGUGGGCUAAUCACGGUUGGACAUCGUGAGGUUAGUGCAAUGGCAUAAGCCCGCUUGACUGCGAGAAUGACAAUUCGAGCAGGUGCGAAAGCAGGUCAUAGUGAUCCGGUGGUUCUGAAUGGAAGGGCCAUCGCUCAACGGAUAAAAGGUACUCCGGGGAUAACAGGCUGAUACCGCCCAAGAGUUCAUAUCGACGGCGGUGUUUGGCACCUCGAUGUCGGCUCAUCACAUCCUGGGGCUGAAGUCGGUCCCAAGGGUAUGGCUGUUCGCCAUUUAAAGUGGUACGCGAGCUGGGUUUAGAACGUCGUGAGACAGUUCGGUCCCUAUCUGCCGUGGGCGUUGGAAGAUUGAAGGGGGCUGCUCCUAGUACGAGAGGACCGGAGUGGACGAACCUCUGGUGUUCGGGUUGUGUCGCCAGACGCAUUGCCCGGUAGCUAAGUUCGGAAUCGAUAACCGCUGAAAGCAUCUAAGCGGGAAGCGAGCCCUGAGAUGAGUCUUCCCUGAUACUUUAAGUAUCCUAAAGGGUUGUCGGAGACUACGACGUUGAUAGGUCAGGUGUGUAAGUGCUGUGAGGCAUUGAGCUAACUGAUACUAAUUGCCCGUGAGGCUUAACCAUACAACACCCAAGGGGUUU
rnacentral:rRNA from 1 species